rnacentral:rRNA from 1 species
UACGUAGGGCGCAAGCGUUGUCCGGAAUUAUUGGGCGUAAAGAGCUCGUAGGCGGUCUGUUACGUCCGCUGUGAAAACCCAGGGCUUAACCCUGGGCUUGCAGUGGAUACGGGUAGACUAGAGGCAGGUAGGGGAGAAUGGAAUUCCCGGUGUAGCGGUGAAAUGCGCAGAUAUCAGGAGGAACACCGGUGGCGAAGGCGGGUCUCUGGGCCGAUAUCGACGCUGAGGAGCGAAAGCGUGGGGAGCGAACAGG